rnacentral:pre_miRNA from 1 species
AGUGUAAUUGUUAGGUCACAUGGUAACUAUGUUUAACUUUGUGAGGGACUGCCAAACUGUUUUCCAAGGUAGCUGCACCAUUUUGCUUUCUUACAAGCAAU